AUUGAACGCUGGCGGCAGGCCUCACACCUGCACGUCGAGCGGAGCGGCGGUCGGGUGCGUUAUGCCUAGGAAUCUGCCUGUUAGUCGGGGAUAACGUCCGGAAACGGGCGCUAUUACCGCAUACUAUCACAUGAGCCUCGGUAGGAGUAACUAGUUGGUGGGGUAAAGGCCUACCAGGGCGACGAUCCGUAACUGGUCUGAGAGGAUGAUCAGUCAUACUGGAACUGUGAGACGGUCCAGACUCCUAAAGGGGGCAGCAGUGGGGAAUAUUGGUGAAUGGGCGAAAGCCUGAUCCUGUCAUGCCGCGUGUGUGAAGAAGGUCUUCGGGAUGUAGUGCACUUUAAGUUGUGCGACGUUACCAGCAGAAUAAGCACCGGCAAACUUCGUGCCAGCAGCCGCGGUAAUUC
rnacentral:rRNA from 1 species